GACAAUGUUGAGCAUUCAAAAAUCUUUUUGUCUACUCCUUAGUUCAAGAUGGAGUCCAAGGGACAGUUGUAAGCUUCUGGCUAGUGUCAACAUGCUUAAAGAGGAUGAAGAAGACUUAAAUAAGAAGCUUUGUAAAGUACGCACUGAUAUGUUCCUGACUGGUUUAUAAUUAACGACAAGCAACGAAAAGAAUGCAAAAAACUUGCUAAGGAGCUCCAAAGACGACUGGAUUGGCUGUAAAGGAUCUUGGGAUGGUCAGUUAUGGCACACAUUGGAGCAAGAAAAACUGGGCUACUCUGAAUGUGGGAAAUAUGAUCUCUUUUAUCAUUUAACAUUUCGCCUCUCGACUAUACUCUACGGAGUGAAGUUGAGAGGAAGCCUUGCACUACGCCUCACAAAUAUGUGGAAGAUCUCGAAGGGCCAUUUAAGAGGGAAUUGCUAAUAUGCCAAAGAUUUCCGCAAAAAAGUUUUUCCAGGCAUUAGUCAGAUGGAAGACAAAAUAUGUACUCGUAGAAGGAGGAGACGGGUGGAUGAUAACCAACCAUGGAACAAUAUAUCUACAUACAUUGAAUAUGAUCCCAUGAACCUUAAUCACUGGCUCAAUAUUAUUUAUAUUCUAAGCUCCGUUCCUAAAAAAAAGAUGUACCCACGAAAGUUAGUUAUAGUUUGUAUAAUAAUAUGUAGUUUUGUAUACUAACUAUUGGGGAUUCUCAUUUUCUGAGAGUUUAUUGCGACUAAUUAACCCUUAACUGUGAUUAUACAUAUAAUAGGUACAGUAAAAGAAAACACAUUAUCUUUCUAGUAGAUUGUUUUAGUAAUGUGCAUUUUGAAUUGCCUAAUUGCAAUCGGUUGACGCUAGAUGGUGUUAAAAUGAUAUUAUUUUGUAUUAAUAAAAACUUUUUAAAAAGUCUUAUGAUUGUUUGACUCAGUAUUGUUUGAGCGGUUGUCAAAGAUGGGACUCAGCAAAGAGAAAAUGCCCCAUAUUUUACAGUUUUUCUUCGAGCAAAGCGUAAAGACAAGCCAGGUGGCUGAAAAUGUGAAUAAUCUUUAUGGUUCUGAUACUAUAAUAGCCAAUCUGUGGUAUUUUGGUUUUUUCGAUUCAGUUCCCGUAAUUUUAAUGUCAAAGAUGCAAAACUAAUAGUCGAAAAUGUCGAUAAAAUCAUAGAAAUCGUCUAGCCUGACCAUCAUGUUUUGAUUGACAUGGAGAUAAAAAUGAAUGGAAAGAAAAUACAAAUUAAAAUUUUUACUGCAAAUAAUAUGAUAUGUAUGUACUAUGGUAGUACAGUGUCGUGCACUACAAUUGAAACAAGCUUUGACUUCGUCAUCAUCCCGUAUGAAUGCAUCACGGCCGAGUUUUUUCUCUGGUACCGGAGUGAUUGUCCCCAACAGAGGUCAUAUUUAUAAAUUCAUAUUCUAAAUAUAUUUAAUAAAACCCAGAAAAUCGACACAAUACAUUUAUUCUGGAUCAAGAUGAUGUCAAAGUUCGUUCCAAUUGUAGUGCACGAGGAUGUAGGUAGAUGUUAACAGAAGUGGGGACUUGGCCUCGAGACUUGCGACUCGAUUUGGACUCCAUAGUUUGUUUAUAAUAAACUCAGAAAAAGCUUUUACAUUAUGGACCCUAUAUUAUAAUUAUGAAAUCAAAAGAAACUUACUGAACUCGGUGAAACUAAUCAAGGACUUUGGGCUGUGAGCAAAGACUGAGACUCAACUUGUACCUAAAGUAUAAUCAUUUUUCCCACAUCUGGUAGAUAUGCAGAGUUGAGAUCCAAAACUUGAAUAAAACUCAAUUAAAAUUUGAUAAGUAAUGGGUUACGUCCUGAUGUUUGUCAGUCCUAAUUAUGACCUCCGAAUACACAUCAAUAAGACAAAGUUCACCAUUUGUCCUUUGGAAAAAGAAUCAAGGGUUACAUCCUUUCAAAAUUUAAUUUUUGAUGCAUCCCAGAUGGUCGGCUUUUGCGUGAAAAUUAACAUCUAUAUUUUCUACUAUUUAAGGUUUUGAAUCAAUAAAUUAUAUAACUUCUUUUUUUCACAUUAAAGGAAUGCAAAUUGCUUAAAAAGAUGGAUAAAAAUUUCGAUAGUAGAAUGUUCGAUAUUUUAAUAUCCAUUUCGUACUAAGAACCUUGUAUCAAAGUAAUUAACAAAUCGAAGGGAGUAGUGGUCUUUUGUCGCUGGUAGACUUUGGGUAUUUAAAAAAAAACUAUCCUUUGGUUCAUAGCAAUGGAAUCUGUAGUCAUAAAUGAGAGUCCAAAUCGUAGUAAAUCUAAAAAUGUAAUUCCUUAUAAAAUAUGUCUUCUUAUGCUAAGCAAAAGCAUUUUAAAUAUUUUUACUUUUUCUAACAAUUUAUUUAUGAAAUGGCUGAGUUUUUAUGAUAUAAACAAAAUGUCAGCUCUUCACCCUUUGUCGCAGUCUCAUAUUUGGUAAAUAUUUCAGAUAUUCUAUCUUUAUAUACUUAGGAAGUGCUACAUUUGUAAGUAUAUUUAAUCAAUAUAUUCAUUUUUAACCCUAAUAAAGAACGCAAUAUAUAUUAUGUAACAACUAUCAAAUAAAUAUUUUUGGGAGCCUCAAUAAUUUGUUAUUGGUGUGGUCACUGGCCAUCUGGAACAACUUAAAACCUUGGAGUGAACCCCUAAAAGCUCGGUAAAAGGAGGCCAAAAAAAGUUAGCCUUAAAACCAGUACUAUAAGUCCUCGGAACCGGUUCUUCGGACUGUUAGUAGUAGAACUGA
rnacentral:lncRNA from 1 species